rnacentral:lncRNA from 1 species
GUAAGAUCAGUAAUAGAUUGAAAUAUUUAUUAUCCUUCCUAAUUCUUUCUUUCUCAACAAUUUUACCUCAAGUUGUAAUAGCACUCUAUAACGUAGAGGAAAAUGUCAUUUGUUGUUGUCACUUUGUCCAUUGUAUUUAUGUUUAGCAUGUUUCCUGUUGAUAUUAGGCCACAGCUCAUGAAACUUCAUCUGGUUACAGCUAAUGCAAUGGAACCGUGUGAAUUAAUCUCAGCAGAAGUGCCACUAAAGAGCCAUAAGACUUAUUAUCCUUAGUGAUGGGUUUCAUUUCUGGAACCAGCCCCCCAUUUGUGUUACGAAGUCUUACACUGGUACUAUUUUGGAAUGGAUCUGCUAAAAAUACUGUGCACAAGAGACUCUUUUCAGGCACCCAGAAAAUCCUGUAUGUCAGUUUGACCCUGACGAGUAAAGAUAAUACACAGACAGAUGUGAAAAUACUUGAACAAAUCAGCUGCCUGUUAGCCCAAGGGUAA